GACGAACGCUGGCGGCGUGCUUAACACAUGCAAGUCGAACGGAAAGGCCCCUUUGGGGGUACUCGAGUGGCGAACGGGUGAGUAACACGUGAGUAACCUGCCCUUGACUUCGGGAUAACUUCAGGAAACUGGGGCUAAUACCGGAUAGGAAUCCUUGCUGCAUGGUGGGGGUUGGAAAGCUUCGGCGGUUUUGGAUGGACUCGCGGCUUAUCAGCUUGUUGGUGGGGUAGUGGCUUACCAAGGCUUUGACGGGUAGCCGGCCUGAGAGGGCGACCGGCCACAUUGGGACUGAGAUACGGCCCAGACGCCUACGGGAGGCAGCAGUGGGGAAUAUUGCACAAUGGGCGGAAGCCUGAUGCAGCAACGCCGCGUGCGGGAUGACGGCCUUCGGGUUGUAAAACGCUUUCAGCAGGGGCGAAGCUUGUGGUGACGGUACCUGCAGAAGAAGCACCGGCUAACUACGUG
rnacentral:rRNA from 1 species